GGAAAAGAUUAGUCAUACACAUUGCAGCAUGUGGCUUGUUAUAAAUGUUACAGAUGUAACAAAGAAAAAGACAAAGCAGGGGCGUCUCUGUUUAUGGCAAGCAAUGUUUUCUGAGGUCAAACUGUGUCCUAAAUUGGAUCGUUGGCUUCUACCAUUUUACACAAUCCACAUUUUGUUUAAACAUCUAUACAAUUCUGUUUAUAUUUCAUCUUCUAGCUUCUGUUUUUUGAGACACAGCUGUGUCAGAGACAGUAGCUAACUCUAAACAUUUUAUUUUUGCUCCAAACCCAUUUGUUUUUACAUUUUGCUGAUAAAUAUUCAUGUGAUUUGUAUUUGAGUAAUAGCAAUAUUUCAAUUUCAAAGACACAUUUUUUUUAUUUAACUAGGUUAAUAAAUAAGUUGGUGAUCAGGCACUGAAUAUAUUGACCUGGCUUCUAGAUGAGAAUUAGUUGUCCACCCACCUUGGGCAGUAAUAUCUCAUAAUAUGGGCACAGGACAAUAACCCGUUUGAUGUGUCAGAAAAUCAGAAGUGCAGAAAAUCUCUGCUUUGUUUAGAUUUAAGGAUUCAUUUGAUCCUCAGGACUGCAGAAAACAGAAUAAUCUAAGUUGUUUACAUUUUUUACAGGCCUUUACUGCAAUGUCUCAGGGCUUUCUGAACUGCUUGGCAUACUGGUUCAUUCAACAGAGACUACAAUGCUUAAAUAAGAACAGCAGUCAUGAUAUGGGAACACAAACGCCACUGCUGAGCUCACAAAAGAGGCAGUAUGCCAGUACACAAAUUGCCACCAAUUGUGCACUACGACAGGACAAGUCCUCAUUCUGAUCAUGUCAAGACCCAUCAAGAACUUCUUCAAGCACUCAAACUGAAUUGUGUAAAAUCUGUGGGACACUCCGAUUCUGGAAUUUGGAACACUAAUUGUCAACAUGUUUGAAAAGGAAAAAAACAAAAACGUUUUCCUUUGUUUUUUUUUUUGCCAAUGAAGUCACUUCGUUUAGGAUGCUAUGUGGAAUUUCUUAUGUGAGAUUUUGAAUGAGACUUGAGAUGAGAUGCUAUAGACACUAGACGAUAUAGUCUUCCUUGUUCAAUUAUAAUUUUUUUUUUUUUGAAGGGUGACCCACCAAUAAUGGGAUUUUACAUUAUUUUGCAGAAAGGGAAGACACCACAUCGCGUAUAUAAUUUAUAUUUAUUAAAAUAAAUGUGGAUAAUGCUUUCUAAUUUAAAGGGCUCAACUACUGAGUCAUUUUCGAACCCUAGACAAUCAUAUGGUGGUGCCAGCUUAUUUAUUUUUAGAGAAGGAGCUCCAGAAAUUGGAGAAAAUAGACAAGGGCGGAGGAAACUGAAGUGGAAAUAGCAACUAUUGUGGUGAAGAAGAUGAGGAUUUCUUGCAAUGUGGAAGAAAACUGUGAGUGAAGAGGACUGAAAUGCAGGAUGUGCAUUAAUUACUAGUCUUGUGCACAAUGGAAAAAGUUAGUUUGACCAAAUAAAUUUGCUCGAAAAAUUUUUUGUGCUAGUGGACUGAAAUGUGUCCUUGUGGCAUUUUGGUUUGAAUGAAUUUUAUUUAUGCAGUUGUUUUGUGAAAAAUGUUGUGAAAAAUGUGCCAAUCAGUGUAUUGCAAAAUUUAGACUUAACAUAACAUUAGGUAUAUAUUUUGGUGGGCGCAUUUUCCCACCACUUUGUUUACAGGUAAAGCGAGAAGUAAUAGCUAAAAGAAGGGGGGAGCAGUGAAAAAAACAACUAUAUUUUUCUUUAUUUUCCCCCUUUAUCAGUCACUUAUCACUUGAUCUGUGAAUAAAAACAUUUAGUGGCGGUGCCCAUCCAAAACUCAUCUUUUUUUCUCCAUCAUUUACAUUUUGUUUGGCGCCACGGGCAGAACUCAGAAUUACGAAUCACAGGAAAUUUUCCGUCGAUUGACCAAAACUUGGCCAAAUUUAAAUUUGCUUAAUGGAUACUUGCAUUGGGAGUCAAAGUGAUUUCAAGGUGAAUUAAAAUGUUAUUAAGGCUUAUAUAGGUGAACUAAAAACACGCAUGACUUGGAGAGUUGUUAUGCCAUUUUUGCUAUAGUUUUAAUUCCUAACAGUUUACAAUUUAGUGAAUAAGUCUGUAGUCGAGGAAAGAGUUGUUGAUAAUGGGUCUGGAUUAGUUUCAUUACCCGAUUUUUUUUUUUUCUUUUAUUUUUUUUUUCAGAGUUCUCUAUUGGGAUGAAAAAGGUUUGCAUUCACUGACCUCAGUGUUUGUAUAGCUAGCUUGAUGCCUCUUUGUAUAGGGGCCAUUUAAAGAUUGUGUGCAGGGGUCACUUUAAAAAAAACAUUUGUUGUCAUGCAUAUGUUCUGUUCUUUUGUAUUUUUUAUGAACUGGAACUUUUUAAUUAGAUAAUAAAAACCGGCCAUUUUGUCAGUUUAAACUGACACACUAUAUUUAAAGAGCUGAUCUACACGUGAUUAUUAUAACCGCAUUAAAGGACAACUACUCUCCUUUUUUACUCAUCACUUUGUUGUUGUUUUCAGAAUUAGCAUCUGUUAAAGAUCAGGGGUUUUAGCAGAAAUGUGUGGGAAAUACAGACCAGCUGUAAAAAAAUGAUAGCACUUACAAUGUGUGUGAUUUAUAGUCCUAUACUGAAUGAAAAAUUAAAACCAAAACAACAUACUUUCACUCCUAAAGAGUAGCAGCAUUGUAAUACCAAAUUAACAGAGUGUGUGUGUUUUUUUUUUAAAAUAUACUGGGGUAAUAUUAGUGCUCAUUUAAUACAACUAACCAUUUCAUAGAGUUAUAAACCAGUGCUGUAGAAGCAGUCACCUAGGGCCCACUAAUGCGCACACAUAGCUGAUGGCUUGACAAAGAUACUUUACAUGUCAAAACGUUGCCUAUUCCUGUUUGAUGGCUGAAUAAAUUACCAUUAUCUCAACCAACUGAGUGCUAAAGAUUUUUUUCAAUUUUAUGCAAGUGAAC